GCCAAUUUAAACCUGUGGGAUGGAACCUAGAGACUAGAGGCGGUUGUGUGAGUCAGGAAGAGGGGCCAGAUAUUUGAGUGUUCCUCUUUAGUUUCUUCAAUUGCAGGAGAGAGGUUGGAGUCGGUUUUUGCUGGCGGCGAUGUCCAGCGGAGAGCGUUUUAAGUAUGGAGGCCUAACUGACAAGUGUUUCAUCUUGCUCAUUCUCUCCUAUUCGCGAAUCUGUUCUGCAUUCCGCCGCCAGAGUGAUCUCAAAAUUAUCAAAUCAGACCACUCGUUUGCUGAGUUCCCCCUUUACCCCCUGUACUGAGAAUAAAAUUCAAUCUUGAAGUCGA